GAUGAACGCUGGCGGCGUGCCUAAUACAUGCGAGUCGAGCGAACGGACGAGAAGCUUGCUUCUCUGAUGUUAGCGGCGGACGGGUGAGUAACACGUGGAUAACCUACCUAUAAGACUGGGAUAACUUCGGGAAACCGGAGCUAAUACCGGAUAAUAUUUUGAACCGCAUUGUUCAAAAGUGAAAGACGGUCUUGCUGUCACUUAUAGAUGGAUCCGCGCUGCAUUAGCUAGUUGGUAAGGUAACGGCUUACCAAGGCAACGAUGCAUAGCCGACCUGAGAGGGUGAUCGGCCACACUGGAACUGAGACACGGUCCAGACUCCUACGGGAGGCAGCAGUAGGGAAUCUUCCGCAAUGGGCGAAAGCCUGACGGAGCAACGCCGCGUGAGUGAUGAAGGUCUUCGGAUCGUAAAACUCUGUUAUUAGGGAAGAACAUAUGUGUAAGUAACUGUGCACAUCUUGACGGUACCUAAUCAGAAAGCCACGGCUAACUACGUG
rnacentral:rRNA from 1 species